UACGUAGGGGGCAAGCGUUGUCCGGAUUUAUUGGGCGUAAAGAGCGUGUAGGCGGCCAGGUAGGUCAGCUGUGAAAACUCGAGGCUUAACCUCGAGACGCCGGCUGAAACCCUCUGGCUAGAGUCCGGAAGAGGAGAGCGGAAUUCCUGGUGUAGCGGUGAAAUGCGCAGAUAUCAGGAAGAACACCCGUGGCGAAGGCGGCUCCCUGGGACGGUACUGACGCUGAGACGCGAAAGCGUGGGGAGCGAACAGG
rnacentral:rRNA from 1 species